GAUGAACGCUGGCGGCGUGCUUAACACAUGCAAGUCGAACGAGCCUUCGGGCUAGUGGCGGACGGGUGAGUAACGCGUGGGAAUCUGCCCUCAGGAGGGGGAUAACGGCCGGAAACGGCCGCUAAUACCCCAUAUGCCGAGAGGUGAAACGAAUUUCGCCUGAGGAUGAGCCCGCGUCUGAUUAGCUAGUUGGUGAGGUAAUGGCUCACCAAGGCAUCGAUCAGUAGCUGGUCUGAGAGGAUGAUCAGCCACACUGGGACUGAGACACGGCCCAGACUCCUACGGGAGGCAGCAGUGGGGAAUUUUCCGCAAUGGGCGCAAGCCUGACGGAGCAACGCCGCGUGAGGGACGAAGGCCUCUGGGCUGUAAACCUCUUUUCUCAAGGAAGAAGA
rnacentral:rRNA from 1 species